AUUCCUACGGGGGGCAGCAGUAGGGAAUAUUGCUCAAUGGGGGAAACCCUGAAGCAGCAACGCCGCGUGGAGGAUGAAGGUUUUCGGAUUGUAAACUCCUUUUGUUAGAGAAGAUAAUGACGGUAUCUAACGAAUAAGCACCGGCUAACUCCGUGCCAGCAGCCGCGGUAAUACGGAGGGUGCAAGCGUUACUCGGAAUCACUGGGUGUAAAGAGCGCGUAGGCGGGAGAGCAAGUCAGAUGUGAAAUACUAUGGCGUAACCAUA
rnacentral:rRNA from 1 species